rnacentral:rRNA from 1 species
UACGGAGGGUGCAAGCGUUAUUCGGAUUUAUUGGGCGUAAAGGGCGCGUAGGCGGUCUUGUAAGUCAGAUGUGAAAGCCCGGGGCUUAACCCCGGAAGGGCAUUUGAUACUGCGAGACUUGAGUAUGGGAGGGGGAAGUGGAAUUCCUGGUGUAGAGGUGAAAUUCGUAGAUAUCAGGAGGAACACCAGUGGCGAAGGCGACUUCCUGGACCAAUACUGACGCUGAUGCGCGAAGGCGUGGGGAGCAAACAGG